CCCUCGAAAAGGAAAGUAAAAAUGAGGGAAAAAAAUCGAGAGCCUCCUUCGAUUGAGAGUUUCCUGCAUCUAUAGAAACAACAGUGAAUCACAUAUACAGAGAGGUGACAAGUUCAAUGCAAACACAGUGUAAAUCAAUUCACCGAACUCUAGCAACUAGAGGCGACAAGCAGAGAUGCAUACCGAGGAUCAUUAGCAUAGGUGGAGGGGUGUGCCGUUUUUGUUGCAAUUUCAGUGGUUACCUGAGGUCUAGUAAGCGAGUGCACGCCUACCAGUGGUCUGUGGGCUGUUGCCGACUGAUUUGCAAUCACCCGGGUGCACCGUAGGGGCAAAUGCGAUUUUAAGGAGAGUGACUAAGUGGCAUGACUCAAGCCUCCUCUCUACAAGUUCUCAGUUUCACAGUUUUGCAAGUUCUUGAUUUAGAAAGUGAUUACCGAUAAAUUUUAUUCUGCUUUCUUUACUAUUUUCCAACAAAGAUAGUAUGCUAGCUGUUGCCCGGCCCCAUGUGGACAUGAAUGCUCAUGAGGAAGAAAAUUUUCUGCAAAAUUUGGUCUACGCUUGUUUUGAUGCUGGUGAGGUUGAUAAAUUGGUGAAGGAUGAAUAGGUGGACAAGAGAAGAUUGGAGAGUUUGAUCUGGGUCUGACUUUGGUGCAUCCAAGAAGAGCCCUUCCUACGGCCUACCAUGAAGAAUGUCCUUCUGAUGAUGGAAGAGACUAUAGAGAUACCGGUUCCACCUAAAUUUUCUUCUUUUGUAAAUGUCUCCUAGGCCAUCUCAGAGUUGGGCUGUCAAGCCUUUACUAAUAAACAAAGAGAUUAUAAUGGAAACUCCUCAAUGGUUCCUUUUGUUCUCUUCUUGCCUUAAUUAUAUCUAGUCCUUGUGGUUUUC